rnacentral:tRNA from 1 species
UCCUUGGUGGUCUAGUGGUUAGGACUCAGUGCUUCCACUGCCAGAGGCCCAGGUUCAAUCCCUGGACAGGGAA